rnacentral:tRNA from 1 species
CACUGGGUGACUGAAAGUAAGUGUAGGUCUUUUAAACCUAUCAUAGUAGAUUAACGAAAACUCCCAAUGA